rnacentral:piRNA from 1 species
UAAUUGUCUUCAGCUUGGUGUAUCUACAGG